UACAGAGGGUGCAAGCGUUGCUUGGAUUUACUGGGCGUAAAGCGUACGCGGACGGUAAGGAAGGUCGGAUGUGAACGCCCCGGGCUCAACCCUGGAACUGCAUUCGAAACCCCCUUGCUAGAGUAUGGGAGAGGGAAGCGGAAUUCCUGGUGUAGAGGUGAAAUUCGUAGAUAUCAGGAGGAACACCGGCGGCGAAGGCGGCUUCCUGGCCCAGUACUGACGUUCAGGUACGAAAGCGUGGGUAGCAAACAGG
rnacentral:rRNA from 1 species